UACGAAGGGGGCAAGCGUUGUUCGGAAUUACUGGGCGUAAAGGGCGCGUAGGCGGCUUAUCAAGUCAGGCGUGAAAUUCCCGGGCUCAACCUGGGGGCUGCGCUUGAUACUGAUGAGCUUGAAUGCGGGAGAGGAUAGUGGAAUUCCCAGUGUAGAGGUGAAUUCGUAGAUAUUGGGAAGAACACCAGUGGCGAAGGCGGCUCACUGGUCCGGUACUGACGCUGAGGCGCGAAAGCUAGGGGAGCAGAACGG
rnacentral:rRNA from 1 species